rnacentral:ncRNA from 1 species
GCAAAGUUUUAUUUUUGUUUAGAAAAUUGGAUUAAAUUUUGUAUUUAUAUGUAAAUUUUUUUGUGUAAAAUUUUAAUUUUUUUUUUAAAAAAAAAAGUAUAUUUUUUAAAAAUUCGCAGUAAAUAAUUUUAAAAAUUAAUGAAAAUUAGAUUUAGUAAAAAUUUUAAGUAUUAACAAAUUUUGUGCCAGCAGUUGCGGUUACACAAAUAAUACAAUUUAAUUUUUUUUAGUAUUAAUAUAUUUUUAAUAUAAAAUUUUAACUGAAGGUUUAUAAGGUGAAAUUUUUAAAUUUUUAAAAAAAUUUUUAUUUGAUGAUUAUUUAAUAAAUUUGUUAUUAGACUAGGAUUAGAUACCCUAUUAUUACAAAUGUAAAUUUAAACUAGAUUAGUAAUAGUUAUGUUCUUGAAAAUUAAAAAAUUUGGCGGUUUUUUAGUCUAUUCAGAGGAAUCUGUCCCAUAAUCGAUAAUCCACGAUUUAAUUAACUUUUAUUAAUAGUUUGUAUAUCGUCGUAGUUUGAAUAUUUUAGAAGAAUUUAAAUAUUCAUAAUUUUUUUAAAAAAAGUAAAUCAGAUCAAGAUAUAGCUUAUAUAAAGGGGGAGAUGGAUUACAUUAAUUUUAAUUUAGGAUUGGUAAUUGAAAAUUAUUAUAAAUAAGGAUUUGAAAGUAAUUUUUUAAAAAUUAUAAAGUGAUUUUAGCUCUAAAAUAUGCACAUAUCGCCCGUCGCUUUCACCUUAAAGUGAAAUAAGUCGUAACAAAGUAGGCUUACUGGAAAGUGAGCCUAGAAAG